CCUACGGGAGGCAGCAGUGGGGAAUAUUGGGCAAUGGGCGCAAGUCUGACCCAGCAACGCCGCGUGAAGGAAGAAGGCUUUCGGGUUGUAAACUUCUUUUCUGAGGGACGAAGAAAGUGACGGUACCUCAGGAAUAAGCCACGGCUAACUACGUGCCAGCGGCCGCGGUAAUACGUAGGUUGCAAGCGUUAUCCGGAUUUAUUGGGUGUAAAGGGCGUGUAGGCGGGAAAGCAAGUCAGAUGUGAAAACUCAGGGCUCAACCCUGGGCCUGCAUUUGAAACUGUUUUUCUUGAGUGCUGGAGAGGCAAGCGGAAUUCCGUGUGUAGCGGUGAAAUGCGUAGAUAUACGGAGGAACACCAGUGGCGAAGGCGGAUUGCUGGUCAGUAACUGACGCUGAGGCGCGAAAGCGUGGGGAGCAAACAGGAUUAGAUACCCCAGUAGUC
rnacentral:rRNA from 1 species